ACUGUAAAUAUCCAAUAAGAGUUAAUUCCAUGUAGAGUGACAGCUGCAAAACUCUCACUGAUUCUUUUGUUUUUUUGCAGGUUCGUCGGUACUUGAAUCUAAUUAGAAGAAAUCGGUCAGAGCCCACUCAAAUUGGAACAUAUUUCUGCAGCAAACCAAGAGAAUCAAAAAUGCCUUACAUGCAGUGGGCAGUGACCUCAUCAGGGAACCUCAUGACAACGUGGUUGUGAUUGACUUCCUGUCGAACUGUGAGAAGCUUUGAGUUGACUGCUGACAUUUUCUUACUCCAGUGUCUUCAGGAUGGUGAGAGUCCGCUGGGCGUCACGGUCGAAACUAAGGGCAUAGUUGUCUAUUUGAACGGUAAACAAAGCUGCUAAGAUUAGCUUCCUCUGUCCCAGUCUUUAAAACUUUUUUUUUUUUUUUCCUUAAACAUUUUUGAGAAACCUCAUGGCCUUCUCAUAGACAGAGGACUGAGCCACUCACAAGGAACGUGUGUAAUUUUUAUAGUUCUUAACCAAUGUAAAUAUUCAUUUUACUUUUAACAGUGCAGGGUUUAUUGAAGUUAAUAUCAUUUAGUAUGUUAUUUUGUUGAUUUGCUUGUAGCUUGUUGAUCAUAAGUAUUGAAAAUUGUUGCACAAAUAAAAGUAAACCAUAUUUAUUAAAUUAACACGCUAAACUUGUAUAAAAGUAUCUUUGAAUUAAAUUUGUCCGAUGGUU